rnacentral:lncRNA from 1 species
CGCCCAUUCGUUUUCCAUCGUCUGUCUUGCGUGGCUCGGAACAUCGUCUUCCAGGUAAGAAGCUUCUCCAGAACUCAAACAUUCCUUUGCUAAAAGAUGGGCUAAUUGAUUUUCCGAGCGAUUGAUAUGUUGGAUUCGAGUGAAAGAAAACCUGUUCAUCUCCUGUUUAAUGUUGCGUAUAUAAGCGCUUAUUUCAGAUCUGUCAUGUAUGUUGGUGUUGCAUUUCUUUACUAUUGAAAGGGAGUCUCCCACUAUGAUUAUUUCUGAAAAACCCAUUUCUGAAUUUGUUUUUAUUGCCCAUAAACACGCGAGUGCUUCUGCUGCAAACGCGGUACCCACCUCAGCAUGCAGGAUCGUCCGUGAAAAUAAGACUUUUCCUUGAUUGCUUUUAGCAACAAUUCCCGUUUCCGAUCUGGAAUUCCCCUCAUCAAAGGCCGCGUCAAAAUUGAUUUUGAUUCUUCCUUCGCUUGGCGGUACCCAUCUCCUUACUCCUCUUCUGUUAGUGACUACCCUUUCUUCCCCAAUCUCUAGUUCUUUAAUGUAGCAAGAAAUAGAGUUGAUAGUCUCUCUGGUGUACCGACUCUUCCGUGCAACUUUUUAUUUCUUUCUAUCCACAGUCUCCACAGUGCCACACAGAGAACUCGUCUUCUAGGAGCGGAACAGCCGUUGAAAGCCCGGGUAAGCCAUUCAAAAAAUUCCUGGUCUGUCGCUAAUAUGAUAUCAUGAAAACCCAGUAACCCCCAUACCUCUUUUGAAGCAGGGCAGCCACGAAAGACUGGUCAACAUUCUCGACAUCAAUACUGCAUCUUGGACAUAAUAGAUUUGACACAAGUCGUUUAUAAUACAAAUUUGAAAAAAUAGGAAUAUAGUUCUUUGAAAUUCGCCAAAUUGUUUUAGCCAGGAGUUCUGAACUCCAAAGUUUCUUGUAGAAAUCUUUAGCUUUGGUUUGUAAUUCGUUUAAAGUAGGAGUAGGAUUACCAUUUUGUAAUAGUUUGUAGGCGCUCCGCACAGGGAAAUCCCCCGAAGGUUCCCCCCUCUAUAUCAACAUAUCCUCAUGAGGAGUACUGGCCAAAGGUAUUCGCAAAAUUCUGUCUGCAUCAGCACGCGAAAAGGUAUCCAGAAUUUGAUCCCUUCUCCAUUCUCUAGUCUUACUAUUAAUUAAGUCAACAACAAAAAGAUAGGUCUUAGUUCUGAUUUCAUUGCUUAACUUAUAAUUAAUUGAAUCGGGAAUCCAUGUAUGAUUAACAAUUGAAAUGUUCUCCCCUGUACCCACUCUCCAAUCGAUCCCCUCGCUUAACACCAUCUUCGCUGACCAAAUACUCUGCCAAGUAUACGAUGCCCCUGUCUUAAAACAACAUUUAAAAAAUUUGAACGAGGGUAAUAAUUAGCUUUUAAAACUUUUGCUACAAGCGAAUUCGUUUGGGUCAUAAGCCUCCAUGAAUCGCUUCUAUCCUGAACAAACGAGGCUCCAAAAAAAAACUCGUAAAUCUCCAAUCCUUUUCUCCUCAUCUCCUUUUAUUACUACAUGAACAUGGUUCAUUGAGAAACUACGUAAAGUGAUAGAUGCGUCCUCUUUCCAUGCCAAGUAUAAACUUUCUCGAGAACCAUUAGCCCCUACCUCAAUCCUAAGAAUGAACCCACAUUUUCUCUUUAUUGCUUCCAUUCUCCUACCAUUUAGUUUGGUCUCCAUAAAGAAAACCAAUUGGUUAUUAACGUCUUCAGUGCGUGUCAAAUAGACCUGUCCAUGGGCCGGGACGGGCUUGAAAAAAUUUUUGGCCCGCCUCCUAGGCCCAGGCUUGGCCCGGCCCGAAAUAUGGGCUUGAAAUUUUGCCCAGGCUCGGCUCGGGAAAAAUAUCAUAAGUCUGAGCUCGGCCCGGCCCGGCCUAUUUUUUAAUAAACAUUAAAAAAUUAUUUUAAAAAUAAAAAAAUAAAAAAAUUUUAGAAGUAUUUUAAAAUUAAAAAUUAAAAAAUAAAAAUAAAAAAUAUAUUUAUUAUAUUUGGGCUUGGCAGGGCCGGGUUCGGGCAAAAAAAGUGGUGCUUGAGGCCCGGCCUUAUUUUUAAACGGGCCUCGUUUUUUUGCCCAAGCCCAUAUUUCGGGCCUAUAUUUUUACUCAAACUCUCCCAUAUUUCGGGCGGGCCAGGCUGGGCCGUCCGGCUCAUGGACAGGUCUAGUGUCGAAGUCGUCUAAUAACCUGUGGGCUCCCCAACCCACGAAUGUUUCAACUUAGAAGGUUCAUUGUGUUCGGUCGGCUUGCCUUUUGGUAGCUGCGAUAAAUAGUUAGAUUUUAUGAUUACCCUUUCACCAUUUCCUUUUCCUGGCCCAAAAACUCUACGGGGAUCACCUUCCCCACGUGGCCUUUUUUCCCUCAGCCUCCCAAUAUUGUUCCUUCGAGUCAUGCUCCAUGUCUACUUUGCCAAAUACGCCUCUCAAUUCUUCUUCCAAAUUAAUCCUUGAAAUUGGGUUUAUCGAUUCUGCCAUUAUUCCUCCGUUCGUGUUACCUCCUCCUUUUAACCAAAAACUGUUCAUUGUAAGAGCCCUUUUCGAUUGGGCUUGUAUGGAUAGAUCCCAUCCCAUGUGGGCGACAUUUGUUUCAGACUCCAUCUUAAUUUGGGAGAAUGAAUCACUAUGACCCAAACACCAACAAUAGAAAUAGAAUAAUGUUAGUUCUUCGUUCUUAAAAUUGACAUAGGUGCAAAUACUUGAUGCAAACAUCAAUUUCUUUUUCCUUUUUAAUGGUUGUCGCACGUCAAUCAAUGCUCGGGUUCUCAUGUAACGAAUAAAACCUCGCCCUAGACUUUUUGUAUCAUAUUCCAUAAAAGCACCUACGAAAUCUCCUAAUUGUCUUGCUAAUUGCUCUGAGAAAAAACUUGGGGGUAACUCGUGGACUUGUACCCAGAAACAAACUAAUAAUAAAGGGACUUGUAGUGGGUUUUCCCUCGCUACCAUACGAUGUAACACCAAUAGAUGGUUGUUAAAAGUCCAUGGUGAUCCAUUUUGAACUCUUUCUAAAUCUAUCUUAUGAAAAAAUUUGAACAAAAAACGUUUUCCCCAGAUCUGAAAUCUGUACUCCUUUCACUACGUGCCAUAAAUUUGCCAUUGUGCUCUUCAUUAUUGGGAAGUGGAUUACACUUGUAGUAAGAAAACACCCAACUAAACACAGAUCAUAAACCUCUAUCGGUGCAUCUCUGUUGUUACUGAUCGUUAAGAUGUCAUCCUCAUCAUCUUCUAGCGUGAGGUUUGCUAUGUCGUUCUCCAUAUUUCUACCGCUGUUCUCCAUGUGAAAACACUUUGAAACCCUAAAAAAAACUUGCUACAAAAGCAAACAGAUGUGUGCUUUUUUUUAGUUUUGAAACCUUUUUAAUUUAAGGUUAUAACGAUAAAUUUAAUAGAUAAUAAAAAUUUUAUUUUAGAUAAAUUAGAAUUCAAAGGAAUAAUCAUGCUUAAGUAAUUCACUUGAAUUAUUAUAGUAACUCGAUAUCCAACAUCUUUCAAAAAGGACUUGAUAUGGAACAUUGUAUAUACAAUUUUGUGUUUAAAUUAUUUUCAACAAAAAUAAUCAAUAUAAGCAAUAAUAUAUAUUUGAAAUAGGUAACUAAAAAUUUGGGGGAAAUUACCAAUAAAAGCCUCUUUAUUUUCAAAAUUAUCGAAAUGGGUUAGGUCUUAAAUUAAUUACUAGAAUGGGCCAAUUUCCCCAAAAACGCAUCUAUGUCAGUGCGUUGUCAGGGGAUAAGGGGAUAAAGCAAGAAAAUGCUUCCUUAAGGAAGCGUUUUCCCCGUGUCUGCUACAAUACCAACGGUUUUUUUUUUUUACCUUUGGAAACCCCCAAUGGUAAAAAAAACUAUAAAACCCCCUUUUCAUUUUUUUCACACUUAAAUCCUUUCCAUUUUCAAUCUUUUAAUAUUUUCUGAAAUUUCUUUCAAAUUCCUCUUAAAUUCCUCUCAAAGCUCUCUUUAAAUUUUUUUUCAAAAAAGUUCUAAUUAUAUUUUUUUUUGAAUUUAUUUUUUUAAAUUAAAAAAAAUUGAUCGUGGUAGCAAUGACCGGAGAAUUAAUUUGUUUCGAUGAUAAACACAUAUUCGUCGAACAAAUGAAAAUGGCAAGUGUUAAAUUUAAUUUUUAAAUAUAAUUUAAGAGUUUUUUCAUUUAUGCAAUUUUAAAUAAUUUUUAUUUUAUUAUUUCUUAUAAAAGCCUAUAGAUCCGAUAUUGCAAUGUUAUAUUCGUAAUAUGUUUGGUCUUCUAUCACUGUUGAUAGAGAAUUACCUGCGGGAAGCGAGUCUUUGCCACGUGGCAACGAUAGGCUGGGGGUGCAAGUUGGACUUGAAACUUAUUAGUGCGUUGAUAGAGAGGUGGAGACUCGAGACGCACACAUUCCAUCUUCCAUAUGAAAAGUGUACUAUCACUUUGGAAGACAUGAAUUUGCAAUCUGGAUUACCGAUGGACGGGUACACAGGCACCGGGUUCGUUCAAUCUGGUGAUUAGGGAGCGGUAUGCUACGAGCUUUUGGUUGCUAUUCCGAAUAAUAUUAACGGAGGUCAGAACGAGAUGAGCUGGUUACGAUACAUAUUCCCGGAGCCGGAUGAUGAUUCUACCGAACUAGAAAGACUACGAUAUGCUCGGACAUACAUUCUUAAGAUAAUUGGAGGUUAUCUGAUGCCGGACUUGUCAAUAAACCUUGUACAUCUGAGAUGACUAUUGAAACUCGUUAAUUUUAGAGCAGUUGGUGAAUUUAGUUAGGGGUCUACCUUGUUGGCAAUAUUGUACCAGGAGAUUUGCGGGACGACGAGACCGAAUAAAGCGACAAUUGGAGGUUGCCUAUCACUACUGCAAUCAUGGGCACGGUUUCACUUUUCAUUUUUACAUUCUUGAGUGAACCACCUAUAUACAUUCCCACUUAUAACGAGGUUAAUUUUAUAUUAGAUUUUACAAUUAUUACGUAGAUUUAAAAUUUAAUUAUAUGCUAAAAAUUUAGUUAAUUAGGUGGAACCAUUCGGUAGGUUAUGUUGGAUUACCAAUCUCUUUUGAAGAUAUACGGCUUCUAUUAGACCAACGGUCGGAAGCACAAGUGUUAAUUAAAAUAGAUAUACAUAAUGAGAUAGUCGAUUUGUAUUUAGUAUUUAGUAUUAUGUAUAUAACUAAUAUUUUCAUCAUGUUCAUAUAGUUUUAAUGGACACCAUACGAGGAUCCGACAAUUCGGGCAGUAAUUCAGGAUGAAUACUUGUAAAAUUCGAACGCUUGGCUUGUGAAUGUUUUAUUGGUCAACUUUGCGAUCGUGGUGAUGCACCAGUUAGACAGAGUAUUACGGCAAUUUAGAUUCUAACAACCGAUUCUCGUGGCACCUGAGGUGUUAGAUAAUCAUCACAGAAUCGACUUAUGGCAAUUGCAUAUGACAAUUUCAUUUUAAUGGACACUUAGUAGGUAAUGUUGGAAAGAAAUGAAAUGGCAUCAACCUUGGUGAUAGCAGGUGAAAUUAAAUGAAAUGAUACGACAAUUUCAUUUUAAUGGACACUCAGCCAAUUUGUAUACAAUUGUCGUAAGUCGAUUCUAUGAUGAUCAUCCAACACCUCAGGUGACACGGGAAUCGGUUGUCGGAAUUCAAAUAGUCGUAAUACUCUGUCUGACUGGUGCAUCUUUACGAUUGUAAAGUUGACCAAUGGGACAUUCACAAGCUAAGCGUUCGGAUUUUGGAAGUAUUCAUUUGGAAUUACUGCCCGAAUUGCCGGAUCCUCGUAUGGUGUCUAUUGAAACUAUAUGAAAAUGAUGGAAAUAUUAGUUAUAUACAUAAUACUAAAUACGAAUCGAAUAUCUCAUUAUGUAUAUCUAUUUUAUUUAAUACUUGUGCUUCCGACCGUUGGUUUAGAAGCCGUAUAUCUUCAAAAGAGGUAGGUAAUCUAACAUAACUUGCCGAAUGGUUCCACCUAAUUAAAUAAAUUUUUAGCAUACGAUUAUAUAUUAAAUCUAUGUAAUAUUUGUAAAAUAUAAUAUAAAAUUUACCUCGUUAUGAGUGAGAAUGUAUAUUGGUGGUCCACUCGAUGACGUAAAAAUGGAAAGCGAAACUGUGCCCAUGAUUGCAGUAGUGAUAGGCAACCUCCGAUUUUCGCUUUAUUCGGUCGCGUCGCCCUGCACAUCUCCCGGUACAAUGUUGCCAACACGGUAGACCCUCAACUAAAUUCACCAGUUGCUCUAAAAUCAACGAGUUUCAGCAUCCAUCUCAGAUUUACAAGGUUUCGUGACAAGUCUGGCAUCAGAUAACCUCCAAUUAUCUUAAGAAUGUAUGUCCGAGCAUAUCGUAUUCUUUCUAUUUUGGUAGAAUCAUCAUCUGGCUCCGGGAAUGUGUCUCGUAACCAGCUAAUUUCGAUCCGACCUCCGUUAAUAUUAUUCGGAAUAGCACCCAAAAGCUCAUAGCAUAUCACUCCCCAAUCACCAGAUUAAACGGACCCGGUGACUGCGUACCCGUCCACCGACAAUCCCAAUUGUAAGUUCACGUCUUCCAAAGUGAUAGUACGCUCUCCACAAAGAAGAUGAAAUGUGUGCGUAUCGGGUCUCCACCUCUCUAUCAGUGCACUAAUGAGUUACGGGUUCAACUUGCACCCCCGACCUAUCGUCGCCAUGUGCCAAAAAUUUGCUUCUCGCAGGUAAUCCUCUAUCAACGGUGGAGGACCAGGCAUAUUAUGGAUAUAGGAUUACAAUAUCCGAUCUAUAGACUUUUAUAAGAAAUAAUAAAAUAAAAAUUAUUUAAAAAUUACAUAUAUUAAAAAAAUCUUAAAUAAUAUUUAAAAAUUAAAUUUAACACUUACCAUUUUCAUUUCUUUGACAGAUAUGUGUUUAUCAUCGAGACGAAUUAAUUCUCCGGUCAUUGCUAACACGAUCAAAUUUUUUUGAUUUAAAAAAUAAAUUCAAAUAAAAUAAAAUUAGAGCUUUUCUGAAAAAAAUUAAUGAGAGCUUUAAGAGGAAUUUGAGAGAAUAUUGAAAGAUUGAAGAUGGAAAGAAUUUAAGUGUGAAAAAAUGAAAGGAGGGUUUUAUAAUUUUUUUUGACCGUUGGGAGGUUACCAACGGUAAAAAAAGUAGCCAUUGGUACUAUAGCAGACACAGGGAAAACGCUUCCUCAAGGCAGCGCUUUGUCCACGUGGACACAAAGCGCGCCCUCAAGGAUAUGUUUUCUGUCCACGUGGACAAAGCGUUUCCUUGAGGAAGCGUUUUCCUAUUUUAUCCCCUGACAACAUGCUGACGUGGACGCGUUAUGGGGGAAAUUAGCCCAUUCCGGUAAUUAAUUUAGGACCUGACCUAUUUCGGUAAUUUUGAAAAUAAAGGGACUUUUAUUGGUAAUUUCCCCAAAAAUUUAAAAUAUAUAAAAAGUUUAUAUACUAAAAAUAGCUAAAUUGAUCUUUUUCACUAAAAAAAUAUUAUAUAUUUUAAAAAGGUAAUUGUUAUAUAAUUAUAAUUAUAAUUAAAAUAACCCGUGUCACACUUUGAAAUUUGGCCUAUAAGUUUUAUGGGUAAGUUAGGAAUUUUGGCUUAGAAAUUUUGAAUUGUGGUACCUUGAAACUGUUUUCGUCUAUGGCUUUUUGAAAAUUAAAACAAUUUUUGAAAAUAAUAUUGAAAAGGCUUUCAAUGUUAAAAUAAGCACUGUUUUGUAUAAGGGUUUAACUUAGGAGUAGUUAAAAUUUUUUUUUACCAAAUUCUUAAAAAUACCCUAUUUCCCCUUCCAUUUUUAUAAAACCCACGAUAGUUUCUUCCCCAUACUUUUGUUGCUGUUCAUUAUUCUUCCCAAGCUUCUCCUUCUCAAUUUUAUUUUACAAACUUUAUUCUUUUAAUUUCUAUCAUCAACCAAGCCAUAGAUCUCCAUAGAAUUUCAAGAAAAACACUCAAAACACAUUUGAUUUUAUCAUCUCCCAAACUUGUGGGUUUUUCGAGUUUUCAACUAAAAGCUCGUUUCUCUUCCAUUGAAGGUAACAAUUUGAUUUCUUAUUAGUUUUUAAUGUUAUUUGGUCUUUUAAAUUGAUUUUUUAGCCAUUAAAUUAUAAGUUUUGAAUAAAAGUUGAAAAUUGGGUCGUUAAUGGUGGAUUUCGAGAUUUUUGGGUAAAAACAUGGUUUCAAAGUAUUUUUCAAAUAGUUUUGAUGAUAUUAGAAGGUUUCUCAACUCAAUUUAAAGUUUUAUUAAUUAUUCUAAGGAUUUAAUUAAUUUUCGUAGUUUAAAGGUUGAAAAUCAGUUGUAGGCGAAUAAAUUAGAUAAAUGGAAUCAGUUUUAGGCAAAAAGAUUAAAUAUAUAACGUGAUAAUUGAGUGUAAAGUUUGCUAUGUUGAAUGUUUCGAUUAUAAGAGAAUUUAGCUUAGGCUUUUGUUUAAAAUAUUUGAAGUGAGUCUUUGGCUGAUUGUUGAUUAUGUUGUGUGAUUUACCUUGUUGAAGCUUCGAAAUUGUUAGGACAUUCAGCAGGUAAAGAUAAAGGUAAGGAAAAGUUAGUUUAAACUUUCGGUGAUUAGGCGAAAACGCGAACAAUGAGUGUUUGAAAUCACUACUUGUAGACACGAUUCAUAGUGUUAAUUGAGAGCUUAGAAAUAGCCUAAACCCUUAUCCUAAGUUCCGAGUGUAAGCUUUCUAUUCCUUUUGGUUUAUUUUGACAAAACGUGUGAUUAUGUGAAUAGUUGUGGAUUGUGUAUUAUGAUGCGAUAUUGUGACAUGAGAUAUUUGUGAUGGCUAUUGUGAAUUGUGUUGUGUUGUGGGCAUGAUAUCCAUGCCAAAUAAUAGGGAUGAUAAUAUGCUAAUAAUGCAAAUAUACAAUGGAAGUGAGCGAUAUUUAGGUAAGUACAUAUGUGUUGAAUUGUAAAGUGAUAUUAUUAUGAAAGGUAAUACGUGCGAACAAUUGUAUGUGAUAUAUGAUGUAUUGAUAUUAAUACACAUAUGUGGUCGAAUAUGGGAUGACUCAAUGUGUAUUAUUGUGGGACUUAAAAGUGCUAUUAAAUGUGAGUUUGAUAAGCAUGCAAUGUGUAUAAGCUUGUGAUGUAAAUUGAUGAAUUUGAAUAGAGAUGAUGUGCAUUAAAUCAAUAAUUAAAAUUGUGUAAUUCUGGAUAUUUUGGCCUUGUGAUUUUUUGAAACUGUUAGAUAUAGUUGGCAUGCCAUACGGUUGUGAGUACUCACUCUUGUAUUGUGAUUUGGGCAUUGAGGCCUUGGGACAGUUUGAAGAGAUAAGGGAAUGUGAGCCAAGCUCCAUUCACUAGGAUAUGUUGGUGUGUUGGAAAGUGUUAGCUAAAUGCUACGCUUUUGAGAUAUGUUCGACUUUACGAGUUAUUUAGUGUAUUGGAGAUCCGUGUAUUUGAUGUGUAGUGAUAGGGCUUUUAUUUUCAUAGCCCCAAGUGCCAAAUUAUCAUUUAAAUGUGAUAUUAUAUAUUGUGAUACUACGAUGUGAGACGAAUGCAUAAACAUGUAAGUAAUAUAUUAAAUGAGUUGAUUUAAGUUUCAUGAAAAUGUUAGUAUGUUCUUAUGGUAAAUUGUGUAUGUAAUUGUAAUUUGGGUCAUUUUCAUUUAACUUGUGAAUGCAUAUGAAUAUAUCAGCUAGACUUGUGAGUUAUUAAAGUAUUUAUCCAUUGUUAGUCUUGAUGAAUUAUUGUAAAAUUAAUUAUUUGAACAUGAGUUGAGUGUAGUUAUAUAUGAGAGUAUAUGCUAGUUUUAUGAUUUAAUGAAGCGUGAAUAUGUUAUUGUGACUUGUUUAGAAUAUGAUGAAUUAUUGAUGAAUUAUUGUUAACCUUUGGUGUUGUGUAUACAUUACGGUUGUUUCGACAUUCACUGAGCUUGAUUAAGUUCACUCACUUUUUUUAAAAUCAUUGCAGAUGUUUUAGCGUUUGCGAUGUGAGUGGUGUGGGUAUACCAAGGAAGUGAUCCAAGUUAGGCUUUAGUUUUUGUGUAGGUGAUAUUAUUAUUCUUUGAACCGUGGGAAUAAGGCAAUGUGGUAGAUUUUUAGUUGAUCAAUGCCAUGAUGUUUUGGAUGUUUACAUGACUUUAUUGCUCUUAAG